CAGAGCAGCCAGCCUGGAGGACGUGAGGAGGACAAAGUACGGCGCAGCAGUCCUCGCACGCGCCUUUGACGCGCUUGCUGUGCCUCUCCAUCUGCUGCUUUCAUUUGUAGUAUUGUUUUGUUGGUUCUCGCUCGUUUUCUUCCCUUGGUUUCUCAGCACGAGGGACGGUACUCCCCGCUGAAGACACGGCAGGGGGUGCCCACAUCGUGCGUACGACGCGAUUUCUUCAACACUCCGGUUGCUUGGGCGCCAAACAUCCCUGCGCACACGCACGCAAGUCGGCGUGCCCAAGGCAAAAGGAGGGAGGGAGGGAGGCUCUCUGCUCCUCUUCUUGUUGCGACAGUGCUAUCGUCCUUUCCUUCUCGGCCACUUCACUUUCCUCGUGCCAGCGAGUGGAGGGCACACGUGAUCAAGAAUAAGAAUCGUGAAAAAAAAAGAAAACAGCGCAGAGCACACACCACACUCCUGCAUCACGCGCACAGAAAAAGUGGCGCGCGUGCACAAUCUCAAACCCCGGUACUACCAACGAGAAACACGAACGGCUGUGCUUGCGCGUCUUUCUACUUCCUCUUCCAGCCGAGCAUCCUCUGUUUUGUUGCAAAACACCACUCUUUCUUCGAUCAAUUUCAAGCGGGAUUAACCGCCGGGCUUAGGAUGGACGAGGAAAGCGUGUUCAUGGGCGGUGACGACGCCGAGGCGAUGCCGCAUGAUUUGGGCGAGAGGGCCCCCCUCCACGUAUAUGCUGUUCAUGCAGAUCACAAUCCACGUACUGUAAAGCCAGCCGCUGCCGCCGGACGGCAAACCGUUCUCGCGCCGUCCGUCAGUGGUAGCGCAUUAGCAAUGCCCCUCGCUGCAAACCGCAACACGGCAGACAGUCUCGCGAAGGCGCAAGGAUAUUACCCGUCACAGACGCCGCCCAGGAGUGGCACGACGGCGAUGAAGUCGUAUGAUGAGUUUGGUGGCACUGAACAGGUGGUUCAGGUGGUUUCCUCUCCUUUACUACUUGUGGCUCCGACUGAGGAGAUGCAGCUGGGCCGCGGCAGCUCGCCCUUUAACGCCCCGCAGGCAGCUCGUUUCCCAGCGGCUUGCACGGUUGCAGUGCCACCAAGCGUCGCAUCGCGACCGAGACCUCUGAUGCGUGCGAAGGCCCACGACGCGGGGAACGCAGAGCUCCCUCAGCCGCUAAGCAGGAGUCAGCUGCGGGCGGCACCGACGGGCGGCAGCGACUCGGACACGGAGGAGGAGGGUCAUGACAGUAGACUUGUGACGCCAGACGCUGAUGGAAGGAACCCGCGCCCCGGCAACGAGAGCGCCGUCGAGGCAGAAGAGAAUGACGCUGAACAGCAGUUGGUAGACGAGUUCGGCUUCGUGAUUGACGAGGACGCCAAGGAGAGGGACGGUAAGUACAUUCGCGGCAUUGAUGGGAGGCAAGUGGUUCGGCGGGAGAUCAAGUGGGCCAACAUGGCGGCCGACUGGAACAAGACGAACACGAAGAUGCACGCCAAGCUGAAGGAGAGGUGCCGCAAGGGCAUCCCGAGUCGCUUCCGCGGCGUCGCGUGGCAGCUGCUCAUGGGCUCCUUUCAUCAACUGAACUCGGAGGAGAACAACGGCGUCUAUGUGGCGCUGCGGGACAAGAAGCUCGCGGACAAGGAGACAGACGCCAUCAUCUCGCGCGACCUCGCUCGAACAUUCCCCACCCACGUUCUCUUCCAGGACCCAGAUGGUGUUGGGCAGACCUUCCUGCGCAACGUCCUGCACGCCUACGCCGGGUGUGAUCCGGAGGUGGGCUACGUGCAAGGCAUGGGCUUCCUCGUCGCGGCGCUGUCCACGCAAAUGGCGGAGGAGGAGUCCUUUUGGGCCCUGCAUGAAAUGAUGUACAAUGAGCGGUACAAGAUGCGGGAGUUGUUCCGCCCUGGCUUCCCGUUGCUACAGCAGUUCUUCUAUCAGCUGAAGCGUCUCAUUGCGCGACUGCUACCGCGGCUGUCGAAGCGGCUCGACGAGCUUGAGAUUCAGCCUUCUUUCUUUGCCUCGCAAUGGUUUCUGACGCUGUUCGUCGGUCACUUUCCCUUUCGGGCGCUGCUGCGUGUGUGGGACAUCUUUUUCUCGGAGGGCUGGAAGAUCAUAUUUCGCACCGGUAUCGCGCUCUUGAAAUGGGAGGAAUCUCACCUCUUGACGCUGCCGUUCGAGGACACGCUGUUGGCACUCAAAGGUCUGCAGGAUGGAAAAGACGCAUACGAGCUUCUUCGGCGAGCGCACCGUGUAAAGUUCAAGACAGCGGAGCUGAAUCGAUAUGGCGACGAGUACUGGGAAAUGGUGGGUUUGAUUCAUCGAGACUGACCUGAUACGUGCAGUGAUGAGCGCUGGUGCGCUUCGCUUGUAUUUGGUGCGCGUGUGUGUAGUACCCCCAUCGCUGUCUCUGCUUCUCUUUUCCUGUUCUCCUCUUCCUUUGGAUGCGGACUUGCGCUCAGAAGCUGCUGCGCGCGUCGGAACCGUUUCCUAAGCUCUGUGCUCCCUUGUUUGCGUGCACGCUUCUCGACGGAUCUCUCUCUCUCUCUGUGGCUCACAUCCUCGCAUGAUUCCUCCAAGUGCUUCUAUGCGUGACCGCGCGUUCUCCCUCGUUCUCGUCGUUGCCAUCUGUCCCCUCUCCGGGAGAGUUCGAGCCCGUUGAAGUACGUGGUGUUGUAGGGCGUUGCGUUGUCGGUUGAUGGUGUGCUGAGCAGCAUCUUUAUUGUAUGAUGGCACGCCGUCAUCUCCUCCCUGACGAGCAGGUUGCGAACUAAAGAGAAGCGAGGAAAAAAAGGCACAAGACUUCUUUUCUGUUUUUCUUUUGAACUGACCACGCGACGCUGGACGCCAAACAAGCAGACAAGAGCACAGGUGCAGCGGAUAGCAAGAUCGCUUCCAUUGCACGUCCCCCGGCGUAAAG
rnacentral:misc_RNA from 1 species